UACGGGGGGAGCAAGCGUUGUUCGGAUUUACUGGGCGUAAAGGGCGCGUAGGCGGGAUGGCAAGUCGGUCGUGAAAUCCUCCGGCUCAACCGGAGAACGUCGGCCGAGACUGCCGUUCUUGAGGGAUGCAGAGGAGACUGGAAUUCCCGGUGUAGCGGUGAAAUGUGUAGAGAUCGGGAGGAACACCGGUGGCGAAGGCGGGUCUCUGGGCAUCUCCUGACGCUGAGGCGCGAAAGCGUGGGGAGCAAACGGG
rnacentral:rRNA from 1 species